GUCUGACGCAGCCACGCCGCGUGAGUGAAGAAGGCCUUCGGGUUGUAAAGCUCUGUCACCUGGGACGAAAAACCAGUGGGUUAAUAGCCCACCGGUCUGACGGUACCAGGGGAGGAAGCACCGGCUAACUCUGUGCCAGCAGCCGCGGUAAUAAUC
rnacentral:rRNA from 1 species